rnacentral:lncRNA from 1 species
AGCAAACACGUAUUGAGCAUCUACUCAAGGCAUUCACUUUCGGAGAUGGUGACUUUAGCUACCUGACCUGGCCCCAGUGAUCAUUUUUGUUUGGAGUUCUGACUUGCUCUGACUCAUGUUCUUUGUUAAGCAUCCAGAAUGUUCCUUAGGCAAAUGGUGAUAUAGUUAGUUUGUUUUUAUGUCUCUCCUCCACUGGGUUCCCAUACCACCUUUCUGCUACCUUCUUUUUUUUUUGAGGAAGAUUAGCCCUGAGCUAACUGCUGCCAAUCCUCCUCUUUUUGCUGAGGAAGACUGGCCCUGAGCUAACAUCUGUGCCGAUCUUCCUCUACUUUAUAUGUGGGAUGCUCACCACAGCACGGCUUGCCAUGCAGUGCCAUGUCCACACCCGGGAUCCGAACUGGUGAACCCCGGGCCGCUGAAGCAGAAUGUGCGAACUUAACCACUGAGCCACUGGGCUGGCCCCACUGCUUCCUUCUUUUGGCCUGACAGCUGGGCCUUUCCUCCUCUCACUUUCCCAGAUUUAAGGCCCCUGGGUUUGGGAAUAUACUAAGUAGGAUCUUCCCUCUCACCUGCAUAAGAAUUUGUUACUACUGUAGAGGAGGAUGACAUUUCCUCUACCCACUCUAGGUCCUUCUGGCCAGACAACGAAUUACAUUCACAUGAGACAGAAUAACAGGAGAAAAUUAAACAAAGCUUUAUAACAUGUAUACAUGGGAGAGACCCAGAAAAACUAAAUAACUCACUAAAAUGGCAGAAGCUCUCACCUUAAAUACCAUCCUCAGCUAAAGACAAAGGAGGAUGUUGGGAGUGGGGGGAGUCAGUUAUGGGAGAUUACCAGAAAAGCACAUAAACAAGAGUAAGGUUACUAUGCAGAUUUAAGUCCUUGCCUUCUGCAUUGAUAACAGUUUCUAGAGAUAAGGUCAUCUCCCUUUGUUUCUGGUACAGAGAGGGAGACACCUUUACAGAUAGAGAUUCCCUUUACAAAUGUAAACGUCUGUUAACAAGGGUGACUUCUACUUUUCAGUUUCUCUCAUGUCUGCAGUUUUUAAAAGUAAAUAACCCUCAU